CUUCUGGAGAAUUGUGGCUGAGGUUAACAUAUACAUGUACACAGCAAAGGCAAAAACAUAGGGUGGAAAAUUGGAUUCCAAAAGAAGUGGCGGCUGAAAAUUGAUGCAGAAUACAAACACAUAUAAAGGCAGAAACGGAUCGGCAGAAAGCAGAUGGAAAAACGUUAGCAAUUGGGAAUCAUUUCAGAUCUUUUGUGCGAUAAUCAAUUGAAGAUUUGUGCAAGGAAUUCCAAAAUUAAUCACAUUUCACCAAUUUCUCGGUAAUGUCGUUUAAAAAUUACUUGUUUAAUUUUGAUAUUAUGCUAGACUAAAUAAUUUUAAUGCCAAGAUUAUGAUGAAACUUAUAUCAUGAGCCUUUGAUCUUUAAAUCUUAUUUUUGACAUUCAAAGCACGUUUUUAAUUCUUGAAUGAUUGACAUGGAUUUAAUUUUCUCUACAAUUAUAUGUGCAAUAGUUGUAUGAAUUUUGUGGCUUGUUUUACCUUCUAAAUAUUGAAGAUAAUUUAGACAAAGUGUCAAUUAUCUUAAAGUCCGAUAGGGAAUAUAAAUAUACUAUUAUGCUUUACAUGAUUUUUAAGUAUUCAUAUUUUUUUUUUAUAUGUUUGCAUGAGCCAUAAAAAUAUAGUCUUCUACUAGAAAGAAAUUGUUAAACAAAUUAGAAAUAUUGAUCUUUAUAAUUGAAUCGUAUUAUCAAAUUCAUAAGAUUCAAAGUUAAAGGGGACUGAGAUAAAGGGAGUCGGGACCUUAGCACGCUUUGCAUCAUCAUAUUUUUAUAAAACAUGCAUUUAAUUAUAACUUUGCAUUGCUUUUAGUUAACUUGGAUCUUGUAUUCAUAAAUUGAUUAUUUAAUUUAUAUGAAAAAUCACACUUUCAAUUGUUUCGAUUAAAGUCGAGUUAAUUUGAACUUAAGCUAGUACAAUUUCUGUGGGUACGAUACUUGGACUCAAAAUUCAUUUUACUACUUGUUAACUAACAGUGCACUUGCGGUAUUAUUUUUGUGAUAUUUACCAUCGAUAUCUUACCAAUUUCACCGUACACGUUUACCACCACCACCCUCUUGUAAACCUAAAAUCAGAUUGUUUUCCAAUCCCAAAUUACCACUGCUUCACAUUGUGCUCCACUAGUGCCGACAAACCAUUCUACCACCAUCACUUCGCAUACAACAACUUAUAUAAAAUCCACUCAUCAUAGAUUUUGCAAAAUUGCACUAUGAACCACAAUCAUCGCAAAUAUUUCUGCCCCAUGCUUCACACCAAACACUCAUUCCCAAUCAAUGUAACACGAACCUCUCUUCGAUGCAUUCGUCUACGCCACCACCAUUAUUCUCUUACCCUCUCCUUUUUAAUUUCUUAUGUUUCGCGCCGGUAGUCGCUAACAAUUAAAAAGGGAUCAGACGAUUGUGUAAGGAACAAACCUCUUGAGACAAAGUUCCAAAAAGGGGUGUUUUAUUGGCGAUGACUUUACAAUUGGAACUUAAACAGAAUGCCUCCAAGGGGCCAAGCACACGAGUACUGAAAAGAAAUGUUUAAGUCUAAACUAAGAAAUUGAAAUUACAUAUUCUCUGUUUGAGAGUGUUUGAUUCAGGUCCCUUUGCUCUAUGUCUUUUCUUCCUUUUAUAUUCCCUUGAUGAUCUCUUCGUGAUCAACCGCUUAGAAACUGCUUAAUUGCUUUAUAACUGCCCACUUUCUUCAUGGUGACCAACUUAUCGUGGAACUACCGUCUCUAACUGCUGCCACUACUCUUUGUCGUUCAACCGUCUUCAACUGAACAUCCUUGAAUCGUGGAACGUGAUAAGAUUACUUAAUAACUGCUUCGAUAACUGCACUUUUGAAUAACCAUAACAUCUUAUGUUUGCUAAGAUCCUGGGCGAUUCGAAGGUUUGGGCGAGAACAGGGUCAUAACCCUGGGCAACUGCAAGGCACUUCAUUCGCUCAGAUCUUGGGCAUCUUGCCAGUUUGGGCGAUGAUGUUACCGCAUUCGUGGGCUUCCACUGCAUUCAUUAGUAACCCUAUUUGGGCCUUUAUCCUGAAUUGCCCAGUUGGGCUUCAUUCUUUGAGCUAUUCGAUUUGGGCUGCACUUUUAGCAUGUCAACACCAUAGAACAAGUUUUUUCUUGUGCUGAAUUUAAGAAUAAGAUCUAAUUUUAAGAUUCAGACCAGUUUUGGUUUGAUUUUUAUUUUUGUAAGAGGUAGAUUAGGGUUCCCCCAUUCUUUUUGUAUGAAUGGUGGUGGUAGUGGAUCAAUCUAUUUCUUUCCUUUUUGGUUGGUUUGAUGAUGAAGAACUGAGACAAUGAUGAUGGUAGUGUAGUAAUAGAUUUACUAGUUAUGGUGGAGGUAGCAGCAAGCAGCGAAGGUAUAACAAAGAAUGUUAUAAAUUGUGAAGUUGGCGACGAUGACGUAACAAGUUGGAUUGGUGGUGGUGGUGAUAGUCUUAGUGACAACGGAAUAGGCGAUGAAAUGUGUGUAACUAUGUAACAAGUAAUGAUGACGACAACUGAAAAAAUAAUUGUGAAAUGUGCUAACAAAAUAUUACAUACUGUUUUACAAAUGUUAAUGUAAAAAUAAGUCUAUAAUUGGUAAACUCUUUAAAGGUAUUUGGUGAAUUGUUUAAAAAAUCAUAUAAAAACCAAAAACAAUAGCAUUUCCUCGACAAGAAGAAAAUCAUCAUAGAUAACUUUAGGGAAGAAUACAUAAUUCAGGCUUUAAUUAUACCCCAAUUCAAUUUUAAGAAAAAAGGCUUAAAAAUUCAAAAUUCAGGUGGCAAUUAAUGAAUAUUAUAUAUAAAAUAAUAUAUUAUAUAUCUAAUAAAUAUCCAUCAUAAUAUAUCGACCUACUUUAAUUUCUAUUAUUCCUAUAAUUAUCUUUAUCCCUAUCAUGUUCUCUCUUUGCCUUUUCUUUCUAACAGUGAUGCUCGUUGUCAAUACUGCUCAAUGAUGAGCUUCACUAUACUUGGCGAGGCGCGUCGAUGCUAAGUAUACAGUGACGCAGCCUCUGAAAGUGUCGCGUACCCAGGCGUUUAUCAUAAGCAAUGACGAGCACAACGUCAAGGCAAGCACCGUUGCACAGUUAGCAACCAAUUAUUCGUACAGUUAAAUGAUCUUGGAGGUUGUGAACUUGUUGGAGGUAGGGUAGACUAGGUGG
rnacentral:lncRNA from 1 species